ACUAGGUUGACAGAGUAAUAUGUAUUAAAUUUAGAAUUUAAUUAGGUAAUGAUUGGUUACAUCUAGUA
rnacentral:tRNA from 1 species